rnacentral:rRNA from 1 species
ACGGAAGGCAGCAGUGGGGAAUAUUGGACAAUGGGGGAAACCCUGAUCCAGCGACGCCGCGUGAGUGAAGAAGUAUUUCGGUAUGUAAAGCUCUAUCAGCAAGGAAGAAAAUGACGGUACUUGACUAAGAAGCUCCGGCUAAAUACGUGCCAGCAGCCGCGGUAAUACGUAUGGAGCAAGCGUUAUCCGGAUUUACUGGGUGUAAAGGGAGCGUAGACGGCAAAGCAAGUCUGAGUGAAAUCCCGGGGCUCAACCCCGGAACUGCUUUGGAAACUGUUUAGCUAGAGUGCGGGAGAGGUAAGCGGAAUUCCUAGUGUAGCGGUGAAAUGCGUAGAUAUUAGGAGGAACACCAGUGGCGAAGGCGGCUUACUGGACUGUAACUGACGUUGAGGCUCGAAAGCGUGGGGAGCAAACAGGAUUAGAUACCCUGGUA